rnacentral:misc_RNA from 1 species
AGCUUCUACUUUGGCUACACUCUAAUGUUCUGCCUUGGUUUAGGCAUACUUUGCGGUGCUGUGGGUUACCUCGGCUCUUCCUUAUUUGUUAGAAGAAUUUACAGGAAUAUUAAAUGCGACUAGCCGAGAUGUUGGAUGAUACAUUCCAGCUUACACUUAUUGGGGAGCACUUGGGCUGGUGGUUUGCUGGUUGAUUAUAGUGAUA